GUGACAGCCGCCGCGGUAAUACAGAGGUGGCAAGCGUUGUUCGGAAUUACUGGGCGUAAAGGGCGCGUAGGCGGCCCUCUAAGUCAGACGUGAAAUCCCCCGGCUUAACCUGGGAACUGCGUCUGAUACUGGAGGGCUAGAGUUUGGGAGAGGGAUGUAGAAUUCCAGGUGUAGCGGUGAAAUGCGUAGAUAUCUGGAGGAAUACCGGUGGCGAAGGCGGCAUCCUGGACCAAUACUGACGCUGAGGCGCGAAAGCUAGGGGAGCAAACGGGAUUAGAAACCCCCGUAGUCC
rnacentral:rRNA from 1 species